rnacentral:rRNA from 1 species
CAAACCAAAGCUGGCGACCGGCGCACGGGUGAGUAACACGUAUCCAACCUACCUCAUACUCGGGGAUAGCCUUUCGAAAGAAAGAUUAAUAUCCGAUAGCAUAUAUUUCCCGCAUGGGUUUUAUAUUAAAGAAAUUCGGUAUGAGAUGGGGAUGCGUUCCAUUAGUUUGUUGGGGGGGUAACGGCCCACCAAGACUACGAUGGAUAGGGGUUCUGAGAGGAAGGUCCCCCACAUUGGAACUGAGACACGGUCCAAACUCCUACGGGAGGCAGCAGUGAGGAAUAUUGGUCAAUGGACGCGAGUCUGAACCAGCCAAGUAGCGUGAAGGAUGACUGCCCUAUGGGUUGUAAACUUCUUUUAUAUGGGAAUAAAGUGGUCCACGUGUGGACUUUUGUAUGUACCAUAUGAAUAAGGAUCGGCUAACUCCGUGCCAGCAGCCGCGGUAAUACGGAGGAUCCGAGCGUUAUCCGGAUUUAUUGGGUUUAAAGGGAGCGUAGGCGGAUUGUUAAGUCAGUUGUGAAAGUUUGCGGCUCAACCGUAAAAUUGCAGUUGAUACUGGCAGUCUUGAGUGCAGUAGAGGUGGGCGGAAUUCGUGGUGUAGCGGUGAAAUGCUUAGAUAUCACGAAGACUCCGAUUGCGAAGGCAGCUCACUGGAGUGUAACUGACGCUGAUGCUCGA